rnacentral:rRNA from 1 species
AUUGAACGCUGGCGGCAGGCCUAACACAUGCAAGUCGAGCGGACGAAGGGAGCUUGCUCCUGGAUUCAGCGGCGGACGGGCGAGUAAUGCCUAGGAAUCUGCCCGGUAGUGGGGGAUAACGUCCGGAAACGGGCGCUAAUACCGCACACGUCCUGAGGGAGAAAGUGGGGGAUCUUCGGACCUCACGCUAUCAGAUGAGCCUAGGUCGUAUUAGCUAGUUGGUGGGGUAAAGGCCUACCAAGGCGACGAUCCGUAGCUGGUCUGAGAGGAUGAUCAGUCACACUGGAACUGAGACACGGUCCAGACUCCUACGGGAGGCAGCAGUGGGGAAUAUUGGACAAUGGGCGAAAGCCUGAUCCAGCCAUGCCGCGUGUGUGAAGAAGGUCUUCGGAUUGUAAAGCACUUUAAGUUGGGAGGAAGGGCAGUAAGUUAAUACCUUGCUGUUUUGACGUUACCAACAGAAUAAGCACCGGCUAACUUCGUG